UACGAAGGGGACUAGCGUUGUUCGGAAUUACUGGGCGUAAAGCGCACGUAGGCGGAUUUGUAAGUCAGGGGUGAAAUCCCGGGGCUCAACCUCGGAACUGCCUUUGAUACUGCAAAUCUCGAGUCCGAUAGAGGUGGGUGGAAUUCCUAGUGUAGAGGUGAAAUUCGUAGAUAUUAGGAAGAACACCGGUGGCGAAGGCGGCGUUCUGGACUGCAACUGACACUGAGGAACGAAAGCCAGGGGAGCAAACGGG
rnacentral:rRNA from 1 species